rnacentral:lncRNA from 1 species
GGUCCUAGGGACCAACAGGGCUGAUAUGUCCAACAGGGCUGAUAGGUCUUAGGGACCAACAGGGCUGAUAUGUUCUAGGGACAACAGGGCCUGAUAUGUUCUAGGGACCACAGGCUGAAUAGGUUCUAGGGACCAACAGGGCUGAUAUGUCCAACAGGGCUGAUAUGUUCUAGGGACCAACAGGGCUGAUAUGUUUUCUAGGGGGCAACAGGGCUGUAUGUUCUAGGGACCACAGGGCGAUAUGUUCUAGGGACCAACAGGGGCGGAGAUGUUUUUUGUGUCUAGGACCACAGGGCUGAUAUGUUCUAGGGGCCAACAGGGCUGAUAUGUUCUACUAGGGACCAACAGGGCCUGAUAGGUUCUAGGGACCAACAGGGCUGAUAGUUUCUGGGACCAACAGGGGCGGAUAUGUUCUAGGGGCCAACAAGGCUGAUAUUUCUAGGGGGUCAAAGGGCUAAUAUGUUCUAGGGGUCAACAGGCUGAGAUUUAUAGGGGUCAACAGGGCUAAUAUGUUCUAGGGGUCACAGGGCUGAAAUGUGAAACUGAACUGCAUGUAAGCAUACAUUUAAACAAGUGGUAACAAACUAUGUGUACAUAACAGACAGGGAAAAACCACAUGACUGUUACAAACAUACGUGUAACUGACAUACACACAUGUAAACAAACCAACAUGUACUGUAAACAAACAUACAUGUACACUGACAUACAUACAUGUAAACAAACCAACAUGUACGGUACAAACAUAGGUGGACACUGACAUACAUACAUGUAAAAAAAAACAUUUACUGUAAACAAACAUACAUGUAACAAACUGACUGCAUAACAAUGUAAACAACAAACGUGUAGCUAACAAAACUAGCUUUCGACUAUU